rnacentral:rRNA from 1 species
CAGGACGAACGCUGGCGGCGUGCCUAACACAUGCAAGUCGAACGGAACUAUUUGACAGAUCCUCGGGAUGAUGGAUUUAGUUAGUGGCGGACGGGUGAGUAACGCGUGAGUAACCUGCCUCUAAGAGGGGAAUAACGUUCUGAAAAGAUCGCUAAUACCGCAUAACAUAUUGAAGCCGCAUGACUUUGAUAUCAAAGAUUUAUCGCUUAGAGAUGGACUCGCGUCCGAUUAGCUUGUUGGCGGGGUAACGGCCCACCAAGGCGACGAUCGGUAGCCGGACUGAGAGGUUGAACGGCCACAUUGGGACUGAGACACGGCCCAGACUCCUACGGGAGGCAGCAGUGGGGGAUAUUGCGCAAUGGGGGGCCAACCCUGACGCAGCAACGCCGCGUGAAGGAUGAAGGUUUUCGGAUUGUAAACUUCCUUUGUUAGGGACGAAAAUUGACGGUACCUAACGAAUAAGCUCCGGCUAACUACGUGCCAGCAGCUGC